AGGGAUUGCCUUAGUAACGGCGAGUGAAGCGGCAAAAGCUCAAAUUUGAAAUCUAGCACUUUCAGUGUUCGAGUUGUAAUUUGAAGAAGGUAACUUUGGAAUUGGCUCUUGUCUAUGUUCCUUGGAACAGGACGUCACAGAGGGUGAGAAUCCCGUGCGAUGAGAUGUCCAAUUCUAUGUAAAGUGCUUUCGAAGAGUCGAGUUGUUUGGGAAUGCAGCUCUAAGUGGGUGGUAAAUUCCAUCUAAAGCUAAAUAUUGGCGAGAGACCGAUAGCGAACAAGUACAGUGAUGGAAAGAUGAAAAGAACUUUGAAAAGAGAGUGAAAAAGUACGUGAAAUUGUUGAAAGGGAAGGGCUUGAGAUCAGACUUGGUAUUUUGUGUUCCUUAUUCUUUUUGGAUUUGGUUCCUCACAGCUUACCGGGCCAGCAUCGGUUUGGAUGGUAGGAUAAUGACAUUGGAAUGUAGCUUUGCUUCGGUGAAGUGUUAUAGACUUUGUUGAUACUGCCUAUCUAGACCGAGGACUGCGUCUUUGACUAGGAUGCUGGCGUAAUGAUCUUAAGCCGCCCGUCUUGAAACACGGACCAAGGAGUCUAACGUCUAUGCGAGUGUUUGGGUGUAAAACCCGUACGCGUAAUGAAAGUGAACGUAGGUGAGAGCCUUUUAGGUGCAUCAUCGAC
rnacentral:rRNA from 1 species